rnacentral:rRNA from 1 species
GAUGAACGCUGGCGGCGUGCCUAAUACAUGCAAGUCGAGCGAACAGAUGAGGAGCUUGCUCCUCUGACGUUAGCGGCGGACGGGUGAGUAACACGUGGAUAACCUACCUAUAAGACUGGGAUAACUUCGGGAAACCGGAGCUAAUACCGGAUAAUAUAUUGAACCGCAUGGUUCAAUAGUGAAAGACGGUUUUGCUGUCACGUAUAGAUGGAUCCGCGCCGCAUUAGCUAGUUGGUAAGUUAACGGCCUACCAAGGCAACGAUGCGUAGCCGACCUGAGAGGGUGAUCGGCCACCCUGGAACUGAGCCACGGUCCAGACUCCUACGGGAGGCAGCAGUAGGGAAUCUUCCGCAAUGGGCGAAAGCUUGACGGAGCAACGCCGCGUGAGUGAUGAAGGUCUUCGGAUCGUAAAACUCUGUUAUUAGGGAAGAACAAAUGUGUAAGUAACUAUGCACGUCUUGACGGUACCUAAUCAGAAAGCCACGGCUAACUACGUG